rnacentral:tRNA from 1 species
CAGGGUGUAUAACAGUCAGAAGGCGCACUUGACUGGGGGUCAAGUGGUCGCAAGUUCAAAUCUUGCCGUCCCGACCA